GGGAAGUCAUCAACCAACGGCACGAACCCUGAAAAAUCACUCCCCAAUUCUCCGACCAGCUAAACUGUUUUGAGUCAAAUCUUGAUUCGACAACUUAACUUAAAACGACGCCGAAAUUCUGCCUUCAAUUCGCAUCUUUCCUUUCACGGAGCCGUACAAUAAAAUUCCCCCCCACUGCCACUCGGCGACGGUGGUCCGACCCAAACCCUAGCCAUUCACUUCACAGAGAGAGAGAGAGAGAGAGAGAGAGAGGAGAGAUGGAUUCGGACGAGGGAAAGCUGUUCAUAGGAGGGAUAGCUUGGGAAACAACGGAGGAAACCCUCAGAGAACACUUCGCUAACUACGGAGACGUCACUGAGAUCGUAAUCAUGCGUGAUAAGAUCACGGGCCGGCCACGCGGCUUCGGCUUCCUCGUCUUCUCCGACCCUUCCGUCCUCGACGCCGUUCUUCAAGGAAAGCACAUUAUCGAUGGCAGAACGGUGGAGGCUAAGAGAGCUUUAUCAAGAGAAGAACAGCGCACAUCCUUUACACCUGGAAAUUCAAAUGCUGGCCGAAGCUCUGGCAGUACAGUAAAUCACAGAACCAAAAAGAUAUUUGUUGGAGGUUUGCCCUCCGUGCUUACAGAAGAAGAGUUUCGUCAGUAUUUUGAAACUUACGGUACUGUGACAGACGUAGUAAUAAUGUACGAUCAGAACACUAAACGGCCUCGUGGUUUUGGAUUUAUCACCUUUGACAUGGAAGAAGCUGUUGAUAGAGUUCUCCACAAAAACUUCCAUGAACUGAGUAACAAACUUGUUGAGGUGAAACCUGCCCUUCCUAAAGAGGCAAAUCCAGGUGGUGGUGACCGUGCAGGAGGCUAUCAACCCUACGGUACUAGUGCCAAUAGGUUCUUGCAGCCACAAACUGCUGGUGGCUCUUAUCCACCAUAUCCUAGUUACGGAGGGCCAAAUUACGGAUAUGGAGCAGCAAAUAGUGUUAUUGGCUACAGUGGGUAUGUUGGUUAUGGGAAUGCUAAUAGCGGCUUCACUGGCCCUACAGGGGCAUAUGGAAAUCCCAAUACCCCCAGUACUGGUUAUGUAAGUUUGGCACCCGAUGCCAUGAAAAUCCCUUGGAGUAACCAGAUUCCUGGAUAUAAUGCUUUAGCUUAUAGUGUUAAUGCUGGUUAUGGGGCUACAGUUCCUUGGAGUGCUAUGGGUCUUUCUCCUGGUGGAGCUGCUGCUUAUGGGUAUAGUAAUUAUGGUAGAAGUGAAGGUUCUUAUUUUGAUUCUGUUGGGCAUGGGACUGCUGGUGGCCGUGCUGGGGGUGUCCCUAACCGCAACUCUGGUGGCAGCAAUAGUGUGCUAGAGCAACAAGGAACAACAGGUGGUGGGUACAAAGGUAGUGGGUAUGGAAACAGCAAUGGGCCUUCAGGGUAUUCAAAUGCGGCUUGGAGAUCAGACUCUUGAUAAGCUGAUUGUUGGGGUAAUGUUCGUCAUUUUGCAGGCGGCUCAAGAAAUGCUGAUUAAACAUGGCUUGAGGAGACAGAUACUACUGUCCGAAAGUGGAACUCUAAAGAAAAUGAUAGAUUGGAAUUGUGGCGUGGGAAGGAAUUUGAGGUGGAAGUGGAAUUCUCGGUUGAGGCAAUGGUCAGCCUGAUCUUCCAUGCGGAUUGUGGACUGUGGCUGGACUGUUUCCUGUUGAAACAGGAUACGGUAUGUCUAAUGCGAGGUUUGAAGGAUACGUAGGUUUCUGUUUUGCCGUUAUCGAUUUUGGAUGAUCAUGGGAGUGAUGAUUUAUCAGAAAGGGCUGUGUAAACUGUAGCAAGAAUAAGAGCUCUCCCCAUCGAGGUACAGAUGCUGUUUAGCAGGCAUAGCUAUUUUUGCUUUCGUAGGCGCCUCGUGGGUGGUCAUGUUAUCUUCUCCCGCAAACCUUCACUUAAGUGUUUGAUUUGAUGAAUCCUUUUGUUGUAUCAAAGCUGUAGUCACUAUUAGGAAAUUCAGGCUAGAAGGUAAACGUAACUGUUUUAUAUGAGUUGAGAAGCUUUUCUUUUCACCGACUUCAAUUUGUUUAUUACACUAUCAUGUGAAA